CCCAAAGUCCAGGUUGUUUGACUAGUGUGAUCGUCCCUUCCAAGCACAGGAACACAGCGUGGUCAGCCUUCAUUCAGGAGAAACCCCAGAGUGUUGUUUUCUGAUGUGCGGACGCAGACUCGACCGUGCGUCCCUUUUUUUUUAUGUUUGAGUCCGCCUAGUGUGAGUGCAGACCAGCGGGGGGAUGGGGAGGGGGGACAAUCAGGCUUCAGCACGGUACGAGACAACCAAGACUAGUGUGAGUGCGCCCUUACAUGUUGCUUCACAUGAGUCUGAUUAUAGGCACAUUAACACACACACACACUCUCUCUCUCACACACACACACACACACACACACACACACACACACACACACACACACACACACACACACACACACACACACACACACACACACACACACACACACACACACACACACACACACACACACACACACACACACACACACA